CACCUGAACUCACCUGGUCCCACCUGGGCUCACCUGGUCCGUGUCCUGUCCCAGAUUCGGUCGAGGACGUGCUCGGGGAUCUCCUGGGAUUCGAUGAGGAUCCUCCCGUUCCCCCUUCCCGCGGAUCCCGACUCACCUGCCCCCAGGUGAGCGCCAGGGGGGUCCUGGAGGAGGAUCCCGGCGGGAAAUUCCCUGGAGAUGAUCUGGGAGAGACACAGGACCUGGAUGACCUGGAUGCGGAAAUCCUGGGAAUCUCCCGAUCCAGGCCCAGGUUGGCGGGAGCUGGGACAGGGAAAAGCCUCAGGAAGCCGCUGGAUCCCCGGGAAGGUGCCCCCCCCGGGGGUGACGUCACCGACCUGGUGGAUUCCCUGGGAGGAGCCGGGAAAGCCUCGGGAAUGUCGGACAGGUGAGG